rnacentral:rRNA from 1 species
CAAUAGCGUAUAUUAAAAUUGUUGCGGUUAAAAAGCUCGUAGUUGGAUUUCUGCUGAGAACGACCGGUCCGCCCAUUGGGUGUGUAUCUGGCUCUUUCUUGGCAUCUUCUUGGUGAACGUUACUGCACUUGACUGUGUGGAGCGCUACCCAGGACUUUUACUUUGAGGAAAUUAGAGUGUUUCAAGCAGGCAUACGCCUUGAAUACGUUAGCAUGGAAUAAUAAGAUAGGACCUCGGUUCUAUUUUGUUGGUUUCUAGAGCUGAGGUAAUGAUUAAUAGGGAUAGUUGGGGGCAUUCGUAUUUAACUGUCAGAGGUGAAAUUCUUGGAUUUGUUAAAGAUGGACUACUGCGAAAGCAUUUGCCAAGGAUGUUUUCAUUGA